CCUACGGGGGGCUGCAAUGAGGAAUAUUGGUCAAUGGACGAGAGUCUGAACCAGCCAAGUAGCGUGAAGGAUGCCUGCCCUAUGGGUUGUAACCUUCUUUUAUAUGGGAAUAAAAUGUUCCACGUGUGGGGUUUUGUAUGUACCAUAUGAAUAAGGAUCGGCUAACUCCGUGCCAGCAGCCGCGGUCAUUCGGAGGAUCCGAGCGUUAUCCGGAUUUAUUGGGUUUAAAGGGAGCGUAGGUGGAUUGUUAAGUCAGUUGUGAAAGUUUGCGGGUCAACCGUAAAAUUGCAAUUGAUACUGGCAGUCUUGAGUACAGUUGAGGUAGGCGGAAUGCGUGGUGUAGCGGUGAAAUGCUUAGAUAUCACGAAGAACGCCGAGUGCGAAGGCAGCUUACUAAACUGCCACUGACAUUGAUGCUCGAAAGUGUGGGUAUCAAACAGGAUUAGAUACCCUUGUAGUC
rnacentral:rRNA from 1 species